AGACUAUUUGAGAGCCUAUUUUGUUUCACUUUGUAUUUAAAUGAUCAUUCUUUGAAGUAAAAAGGUGUUGCUUGAGUUUUAGGUGCAUGGAGAAAUCAAAAGGAAAUAAAAUUCAAAUAUAAUGAAGGAUUUUCAUGUUGAAUUUGUGUUGAAUUUGGUAUUGAAUAGGGACCAAGUUUGGUGAAUGGCUCAUGUUUCUACAAU
rnacentral:lncRNA from 1 species